UACGUAGGGUCCGAGCGUUGUCCGGAAUUAUUGGGCGUAAAGGGCUCGUAGGCGGCUUGUCGCGUCGGAUGUGAAAGCCCGGGGCUUAACUCCGGGUCUGCAUUCGAUACGGGCAGGCUAGAGUUCGGUAGGGGGAGAUCGGAAUUCCUGGUGUAGCGGUGAAAUGCGCAGAUAUCAGGAGGAACACCGGUGGCGAAGGCGGAUCUCUGGGCCGAUACUGACGCUGAUGCGCGAAAGCGUGGGGAGCAAACGGGG
rnacentral:rRNA from 1 species